rnacentral:tRNA from 1 species
GUUCCCGUAGCUCAGUGGAUAGAGCAUCGGUCUCCGGAACCGAGUGCGCUGGUUCGAUUCCAGUCGGGAACA